UACUCUCCAGCCAUCAAAGACUCCACCAGGAGGUGCUACACCAUACCAACGCUGUGUGUCUGAUGGAGACGUGUAAAGGGAAGCGUGUGAUCCUGUCCAGUGCCGUGGAGAAGUCUCUGGAGCUCAGAGGGCCCUAUGACAUCACCAACCUGUAUCCUUCCUAUUGGUUCAGACACAAACUGUAGUCUUCA